rnacentral:rRNA from 1 species
AUUGAACGCUUGCGGCCGGCCUAACACAUGCAAGUCGCGCGGAGCGGCGGACGGGUGAGUCAUGCCUAGGAAUCUGCCUGGUAGUGGGGGCUAACGUCCGGAAACGGGCGCUAAUACCGCCUACUAUCAGAUCAGCCUAGGUCGGAUUAGCUAGUUGGUGGGGUAAAGGACUACCAAGGCGACGAUCCGUAACUGGUCUGAGAGGAGGAUCAGUCACACUGGAACUGAGACACGGUCCAGACUCCGACGGGAGGAAGCAGUGGGGAAUAAUGGACAAUGUGCGAAAGCAUGAUCCAGCGAUGCCGCGUGUGUGAAGAAGGUUUUCGGAGUGUAAAGCACUGUAAGGUGGGAGGCGUGACCAACAGAAUAAGCACCGGCUAACUUCGUGCCAGCAGCCGCGGUAAUAC